rnacentral:lncRNA from 1 species
GGUUUCUAAAUAGGUCAGAAGUGACAGGUUCAGUGUGUUCAGUGAGCCAGAGCUGAAGAUUCUGUUACCAAAGAGACCAGAACCUGAGGAGAGGAAGUAGCCUGACAGGAAGUUGGGGGGGGGGGCAGUUGGUGAGUGAGGCAAGAAAGGGCUACUGACAGUUGAAGGUCUUUUGUCUCUGGGAUCUCUAAAGAGCAGGACGUCUGGCUCUGAGGCAGUUGGGCUGCUAUAGAAAACGGAUUGAAGGAUGACUCUUUACAAUAUUGGCCACAGAGUGAUGAAAGUUUUGGCCAUGGUGAUUUCCAAACCUCCAACAAGAUCAUCAUCAAUGGAAGGGGUACCCAAAUCAAUCAUAUUAAAUCAUAUUUUUGUGAAUUUAAUAAAGAAAAAAUUGAAAUAUACAAAUCAUACCAGUAUCUCUUCCACAUCUCAAUUUUCUCCAUUGGGGUUUCAUAUAUUGUGGGAUCAGCUGUAGGUGACACAAGAUGGCCCUUAUAUAACACAAAAAGUUUAGAAAUUACAUAGUCUAUAACCAAAUACAUCACCCAAUUUUUACAAUAAGAUUCUAUAAACACUCCAUAAAAGAAAAAGAAAAAUAAUCAACUUCUGUGAUAUGAAGGGAGGGCUCAAAAAUUUUACUUGGAUUUCCCAGAUCGCUGGAGUAUCAAAUCUCUAGAUCUUGAAGUGUGGAAAGAAUACCUGUACUUCAAUACCAUAGUACAAAGAGGACUUGCUUCAGAGUCAGGAAGCCUGGGUUUGAGUUCUGCAACUGACAUAUACUAUCUAUGUGAGUAGGAGUACAUAACUUAACUUCCUCAAUGCCUCAGUCAUUGGGAAGUCCCAGUGCUGUGCCUUUGUAGGAGUUUAUACACUGAGAGUUGCUUCCAUCAAUGAAAUAACAGGUUUAGGCCCUGCUUCUCCAUACCUUCCACCACCCAAACAAAAAUCUUUAUGUAGAGUUAGAUAUCCUGCUAUUAUGAACAUAC